rnacentral:lncRNA from 1 species
CCCUACGCACGCCUAUGGGCACAAAUAAAAUACUAAAAACUUACACUUAAAAAGACAAAGAGUCACGGGAUUAACAGCGUGCCAGAUAAAAAAAGCACCACGCAGUUCGCUCAUGAAAACAAUGGCUGUAAGAUUUUAUUUCAGUUCCAACGCAUUAACAAUGUAUUGUGAAUAAGUUAAUGCAUUCCUACAUAAAGCAUAAAAACAUUAAACGAAGCAUACCAGGAAAAACAUAGGGAGUGCCAUGCCGUUCGCUCAU